GAGAUGGGUAUAAACGGAGGUCGGAGCCAGCUCCAAAUGGGCGGGUCAGCUCCAAAUGGGUGGGACUUCAGCUCCAAGUGGGCUGUACAAACCUCCAGAGCCUUUUGAUUGGUUUAUUUAAUGUCAGAGGGUUAAUGCACGCUGCGAAUCCCCCCCCCACCACCACCAAAAAAAAAAAAAAAAAAAAAAAAGAAAGAAAGAAAGAAAAAAAAAAAGACGACGUCAACUUCCCAAGGCUUUUCAGCGUCAAGAAAGAGGAAUUUGAAGGGGCAGCAGCGGAUCUACUCCAAUCAUCAUUAACGGGACCACAGUGGAGAGAGUGAGCAGCUUCAAAUACCUUCAAAUGCCCUGCAAAGAGUAGCUGAGCACAUGUCCAGAACAUCUCUCCCCUCUCUGCAAGACAUCCACACCAGAAGAUGUAAAUCUAAGGCUGUUUAGAUCCUUAAAGACCCCACCCACCCUGGAAAUCCACUGUUCCAUCUGCUACAGUCAGGCGGACGAUUCUGCAGUCUGAUGACAAAAACAGAUAGGUUCAGGAGGAGUUUCUUCCCUCAUGCUAUCAGACUACUAAACAUGGACAUUAAACACACUGAACUUUAUAGACCGGUUGUUUAGGGCUACCCAAUAACUCUCUGCACACUGCUUUUUUGACAACCUAACUAUGCAACUCCUCCUCACUGCACAUUGUCUACAUCUCUGCACAUCAUCUGUGUAGCAGUUUCUGUGUAGCUUCUCUACAAAUCAUCUGUGUAGUAGUUUAAUACAGUAUAUUGUGUAUAUUUUAUACAGUAUAUUUUUUCCUGUUGUUUCAUUAUUUUAUUUUUUUUGCACAGUCUAAAAAGAGUAUGCCAGACCUACAUUUCACUGCUUUUUGCAUGUCAUAUAACAAAUAAAACUUGAAUUUUUAAUGGUG